GACGAACGCUGGCGGCGUGCUUAACACAUGCAAGUCGAACGGUGACCCAUCUUCGGAUGGUGAUCAGUGGCGAACGGGUGAGUAACACGUGGGCAACCUGCCCCUAGCUCCGGGAUAACCCCUCGAAAGAGGAGCUAAUACCGGAUAUCACCUCCCCUGGCAUCAGGGGUGGUUGAAAGUUUUUCGGCUAGGGAUGGGCCCGCGGCCUAUCAGCUUGUUGGUGGGGUAAAGGCCUACCAAGGCGACGACGGGUAGCCGGCCUGAGAGGGCGACCGGCCACACUGGGACUGAGACACGGCCCAGACUCCUACGGGAGGCAGCAGUGGGGAAUAUUGCGCAAUGGGCGAAAGCCUGACGCAGCAACGCCGCGUGAGGG
rnacentral:rRNA from 1 species